rnacentral:tRNA from 1 species
UUAAUUGAAACCAAAAAGAGGUAUGUCACUGUUAAUGACAACAUUGAGUCUAACUCCAAUUAAG